rnacentral:rRNA from 1 species
AUUGAACGCUGGCGGCAGGCCUAACACAUGCAAGUCGAGCGGAGCGGCGGACGGGGGAGUAAUGCCUGGGAAUCUGCCUGGUAGUGGGGGAUAACGUCCGGAAACGGGCGCUAAUACCGCAUACUAUCAGAUGAGCCUCGUUCGGAUUAGCUAGUGGGUGGGGUAAAGGCCUACCAAGUCGACGAUCCGUAACUGGUCUGAGAGGAUGAUCAGUCACACUGGAACUGAGAAACGGCCCAGACUCUUACGGGAGGCAGCAGUGGGGAAUUUUGGACAAUGGGCGAAAGCCUGACCCAGCCAGGCCGCUGGUGUGAAGAAGGUCUUCGGAUUGUAAAGCACUUUAAGUUGGGAGGCGUUACCAACAGAAUAAGCACCGGCUAACUACGUGCCAGCAGCCGCGGUAAUAC